rnacentral:tRNA from 1 species
GAAAUACUAGUUAAAUAAUAACAACAUCUUGUCAAGAUAUAGUUACCUAU